UUUAUCUCUGGAUGUGUGCAAAUGUAUGUGCAUUCAUGUGUGCCUGCGUGGAGAUCUGAGGUUGGCUGGUAGGGUGGACCUCUGCGCAUAAUCACAUGUGUGUGCAAACAUUUCUUGUUUGGAUUUCUUGGAAUUUGAUUUCUUUAAGGGAGUUUAUAUGUGGAUGUGUACAAAUGUAUGUGCAUUCAUGUGUGCCUGCAUGGAGAUCUGAGGUUGGCUGGUAGGGUGGACCUCUGCGCAUAAUCACAUGUGUGUGCAAACAUUUCUUGUUUGGAUUUCUUGGAAUUUGGUUUCUGUGGGGUCGUUUAUCUGUGGAUGUGUGCAAAUGUAUGUGCAUUCAUGUGUGCCUGCGUGGAGAUCUGAGGUUGGCUGGUAGGGUGGACCUCUGCGCAUAAUCACAUGUGUGUGCAAACAUUUCGUUUGUGGAUUUGUUUGAAUUUGGUUUCUGUGGGGUCGUUUAUCUGUGGAUGUGUGCAAAUGUAUGUGCAUUCAUGUGUGCCUGCGUGGAGAUCUGAGGUUGGCUGGUAGGGUGGACCUCUGCGCAUAAUCACAUGUGUGUGCAAACAUUUUUUUUUGGAUUUCUUGGAAUUUGGUUUCUGUGGGGUCGUUUAUCUGUGGAUGUGUGCAAAUGUAUGUGCAUUCAUGUGUGCCUGCAUGGAGAUCUGAGGUUGGCUGGUAGGGUGGACCUCUGCGCAUAAUCACAUGUGUGUGCAAACAUUUCUUGUUUGGAUUUCUUGGAAUUUGGUUUCUGUGGGG
ensembl:lncRNA